rnacentral:rRNA from 1 species
UACGUAGGGUGCAAGCGUUAAUCGGAAUUACUGGGCGUAAAGCGUGCGCAGGCGGCUUUGCAAGACAGAUGUGAAAUCCCCAGGCUUAACCUGGGAACUGCAUCCGAUACUGGAUGGCUUGAAUCUGGCAGAGGGGGGUAGAAUUCCACGUGUAGCAGUGAAAUGCGUAGAGAUGUGGAGGAACACCGAUGGCGAAGGCAGCCCCCUGGGUCAAGAUUGACGCUCAUGCACGAAAGCGUGGGGAGCAAACG